rnacentral:rRNA from 1 species
UUAAGUUAAUAAGGGCGCACGGUGGAUGCCUUGGCACUAGGAGCCGACGAAGGACGUGACAAACGACGAUAUGCCUUGGGUAGCUGUAAGUAAGCGAUGAUCCAGGGAUUUCCGAAUGGGGGAACCCAACAGGUANAGGGCAAACCGAAGAGUUUACUCUUCGGGGUUGUAGGACUGCAAUGUGGACUCAAAGAUUAUAGAAGAAUGAUUUGGGAAGAUCAGCCAAAGAGAGUAAUAGCCUCGUAUUUAAAAUAGUCUUUGUACCUAGCAGUAUCCUGAGUACGGCGGGACACGUGAAAUCCCGUCGGAAUCUGGGAGGACCAUCUCCCAACCCUAAAUACUCCCUAGUGACCGAUAGUGAACCAGUACCGUGAGGGAAAGGUGAAAAGCACCCCGGGAGGGGAGUGAAAUAGAACCUGAAACCGUGUGCCUACAACAAGUUCGAGCCCGUUAAUGGGUGAGAGCGUGCCUUUUGUAGAAUGAACCGGCGAGUUACGUUAUGAUGCGAGGUUAAGUUGAAGAGACGGAGCCGUAGGGAAACCGAGUCUGAAUAGGGCGCCUUAGUAUCAUGACGUAGACCCGAAACCAUGUGACCUACCCAUGAGCAGGUUGAAGGUGCGGUAAGACGCACUGGAGGACCGAACCAGGGCACGUUGAAAAGUGCUUGGAUGACUUGUGGGUAGCGGAGAAAUUCCAAACGAACUUGGAGAUAGCUGGUUCUCUCCGAAAUAGCUUUAGGGCUAGCGUCGACAUUAGAGAUUCUUGGAGGUAGAGCACUGUUUGGGUGAGGGGUCCAUCCCGGAUUACCAAUCUCAGAUAAACUCCGAAUGCCAAUGAAUUAUGGUCGGCAGUCAGACUGCGAGUGCUAAGAUCCGUAGUCGAAAGGGAAACAGCCCAGACCACCAGCUAAGGUCCCAAAAUAAUUGUUAAGUGGAAAAGGAUGUGGGGUUGCACAGACAACUAGGAUGUUAGCUUAGAAGCAGCUAUUCAUUCAAAGAGUGCGUAAUAGCUCACUAGUCGAGUGACCCUGCGCCGAAAAUGUACCGGGGCUAAAACAAUUUACCGAAGCUGUGGAUACCUUUAUAGGUAUGGUAGGAGAGCGUUCUAUGUGUGAUGAAGGUAUACCGUGAGGAGUGCUGGAACGCAUAGAAGUGAGAAUGCCGGUAUGAGUAGCGAAAGACAGGUGAGAAUCCUGUCCACCGUAAGACUAAGGUUUCCAGGGGAAGGCUCGUCCGCCCUGGGUUAGUCGGGACCUAAGGAGAGACCGAAAGGUGUAUCCGAUGGACAACAGGUUGAUAUUCCUGUACUAGAGUAUGUAGUGAUGGAGGGACGCAGUAGGCUAACUAAAGCAGACGAUUGGAAGAGUCUGUCUAAGCAGUGAGGUGUGAAUUGAGUCAAAUGCUUAAUUCUAUAACAUUGAGCUGUGAUGGGGAGCGAAGUUUAGUAGCGAAGUUAGUGACGUCACACUGCCAAGAAAAGCUUCUAGCGUUUAAACAUACUCUACCCGUACCGCAAACCGACACAGGUAGUCGAGGCGAGUAGCCUCAGGUGAGCGAGAGAACUCUCGUUAAGGAACUCGGCAAAAUGACCCCGUAACUUCGGGAGAAGGGGUGCUGACUUUAAGUCAGCCGCAGUGAAUAGGCCCAAGCAACUGUUUAUCAAAAACACAGCUCUCUGCUAAAUCGUAAGAUGAUGUAUAGGGGGUGACGCCUGCCCGGUGCUGGAAGGUUAAGAGGAGUGCUUAGCGUAAGCGAAGGUAUGAAUUGAAGCCCCAGUAAACGGCGGCCGUAACUAUAACGGUCCUAAGGUAGCGAAAUUCCUUGUCGGGUAAGUUCCGACCCGCACGAAAGGCGUAAUGAUUUGGGCACUGUCUCAACGAGAGACUCGGUGAAAUUUUAGUACCUGUGAAGAUGCAGGUUACCCGCGACAGGACGGAAAGACCCCAUGGAGCUUUACUGCAGUUUGAUAUUGAGUGUCUGUACCACAUGUACAGGAUAGGUAGGAGUCUAAGAGAUCGGGACGCCAGUUUCGAAGGAGACGCUGUUGGGAUACUACCCUUGUGUUAUGGCCACUCUAACCCAGAUAGGUGAUCCCUAUCGGAGACAGUGUCUGACGGGCAGUUUGACUGGGGCGGUCGCCUCCUAAAAGGUAACGGAGGCGCCCAAAGGUUCCCUCAGAAUGGUUGGAAAUCAUUCGCAGAGUGUAAAGGUAUAAGGGAGCUUGACUGCGAGAGCUACAACUCGAGCAGGGACGAAAGUCGGGCUUAGUGAUCCGGUGGUUCCGUAUGGAAGGGCCAUCGCUCAACGGAUAAAAGCUACCCUGGGGAUAACAGGCUUAUCUCCCCCAAGAGUUCACAUCGACGGGGAGGUUUGGCACCUCGAUGUCGGCUCGUCGCAUCCUGGGGCUGUAGUCGGUCCCAAGGGUUGGGCUGUUCGCCCAUUAAAGCGGCACGCGAGCUGGGUUCAGAACGUCGUGAGACAGUUCGGUCCCUAUCCGUCGCGGGCGUAGGAAAUUUGAGAGGAUCUGCUCCUAGUACGAGAGGACCAGAGUGGACUUACCGCUGGUGUACCAGUUGUCUUGCCAAAGGCAUCGCUGGGUAGCUAUGUAGGGAAGGGAUAAACGCUGAAAGCAUCUAAGUGUGAAACCCACCUCAAGAUGAGAUUUCCCAUGAUUAUAUAUCAGUAAGAGCCCUGAGAGAUGAUCAGGUAGAUAGGUUAGAAGUGGAAGUGUGGCGACACAUGUAGCGGACUAAUACUAAUAGCUCGAGGACUUAUCCAA